UACGAAGGGGGCUAGCGUUGUUCGGAAUCACUGGGCGUAAAGCGCACGUAGGCGGGUCGUUAAGUCGGGGGUGAAAUCCUGGAGCUCAACUCCAGAACUGCCUUCGAAACUGACGAUCUUGAGUUCGGGAGAGGUGAGUGGAACUGCGAGUGUAGAGGUGAAAUUCGUAGAUAUUCGCAAGAACACCAGUGGCGAAGGCGGCUCACUGGCCCGAUACUGACGCUGAGGUGCGAAAGCGUGGGGAGCAAACAGG
rnacentral:rRNA from 1 species